CUCGUAGGCGGUUUGUCGCGUCUGCUGUGAAAACCCGAGGCUCAACCUCGGGCCUGCAGUGGGUACGGGCAAGCUAGAGUGCGGUAGGGGAGAUUGGAAUUCCUGGUGUAGCGGUGGAAUGCGCAGAUAUCAGGAGGAACACCAAUGGCGAAGGCAGAUCUCUGGGCCGUUACUGACGCUGAGGAGCGAAAGCGUGGGGAGCGAACA
rnacentral:rRNA from 1 species